UUAUGCAUAGUACAUGUACAAGCUGUUUGCUGCAGCACAUGCGAUUGAGUUCUCUGUUGGGUGCCAAGCUAGGUGCAGCAACUUUGUUGUGAAAUCAAAAGCAUUUCCAUUCGCAUCAACUCCGGGGUUUUCUGCUCCUGUUAUGAGUUAUGACAUUUACCAAAACAGUUCAUUUCAAUUUCCCCAUCAACCUGCUCCCCAGGGGAUACAGCAAGAGACAUAGUAGGAAGUAUGAAAUCAUAACAAAUGAAAACCAAUUCACUACCUCGUCUGACAACACGUGUUAUGCUACUUAAGGAUCUGGAAGGCCUUGAGGGAGUCUGAACUUGUCUUCUGAAAGAAAAUUUAGAUGUUUAUAACUACCAACAUCUUUACAUAAAUCAUAAUUCAAAGCACUCUAUUUGUUACUCCACU
rnacentral:lncRNA from 1 species